rnacentral:rRNA from 1 species
CAGUCGCCGCGGUAACACGUAGGGUGCGAGCGUUGUCCGGAAUUACUGGGCGUAAAGAGCUCGUAGGCGGUUUGUCGCGUCGUCUGUGAAAUUCUGCAGCUUAACUGUAGGCUUGCAGGCGAUACGGGCAGACUUGAGUACUACAGGGGAGACUGGAAUUCCUGGUGUAGCGGUGAAGUGCGCAGAUAUCAGGAGGAACACCGGUGGCGAAGGCGGGUCUCUGGGUAGUAACUGACGCUGAGGAGCGAAAGCGUGGGUAGCGAACAGGAUUAGAGACCCCCGUAGUCCCUGUCUCUUAUAC